UACGGGGGGAGCAAGCGUUGUUCGGAUUUACUGGGCGUAAAGGGCGCGUAGGCGGCCACCGCAGGUCGAUUGUGAAAUCUCCGGGCUUAACCCGGAAAGGUCAACCGAGGAACGUCGAUCGAUACUGCUGUUCUUGAGGAUUGCAGAGGAGACUGGAAUUCCCGGUGUAGCGGUGAAAUGUGUAGAGAUCGGGAGGAACACCGGUGGCGAAGGCGGGUCUCUGGGCAAUUCCUGACGCUGAGGCGCGAAAGCGUGGGGAGCAAACGGG
rnacentral:rRNA from 1 species